rnacentral:rRNA from 1 species
ACGGAAGGCAGCAGUGGGGAAUAUUGCACAGUGGGCGAAAGCCUGAUGCAGCGACGCCGCGUGAGUGAAGAAGUUAUUCGUAACGUAAAGCUCUAUCAGCAGGGAAGAAAAUGACGGUACCUGACUAAGAAGCCCCGGCUAACUACGUGCCAGCAGCCGCGGUAAUACGUAGGGGGCAAGCGUUAUCCGGAUUUACUGGGUGUAAAGGGAGUGUAGGUGGUCUGGCAAGUCAGAUGUGAAAGCCCGCGGCUCAACUGCGGGACUGCAUUUGAAACUGUCAGACUGGAGUGCAGGAGAGGAAAGUGGAAUUCCUAGUGUAGCGGUGAAAUGCGUAGAUAUUAGGAGGAACACCAGUGGCGAAGGCGGCUUUCUGGACUGUAACUGACACUGAGGCUCGAAAGCGUGGGGAGCAAACAGGAUUAGAUACCCUGGUA